rnacentral:rRNA from 1 species
AGAGCGAACGCUGGCGGCAGGCCUAACACAUGCAAGUCGAGCGCCCAGUAAUGGGAGCGGCAGACGGGAUAGUAACACGUGGGAACGUACCUUUCAGUUCGGAACAACCCAGGGAAACUUGGGCUAAUACCGAAUACGCCCGUAAGGGGAAAGAUUUAUCGCUGAAAGAUCGGCCCGCGUCUGAUUAGCUAGUUGGUGGGGUAAUGGCCCACCAAGGCGACGAUCAGUAGCUGGUCUGAGAGGAUGAUCAGCAUCACUGGGACUGAGACACGGCCCAGACUCCUACGGGAGGCAGCAGUGGGGAAUAUUGGACAAUGGGCGCAAGCCUGAUCCAGCCAUGCCGCGUGAGUGAUGAAGGCCCUAGGGUUGUAAAGCUCUUUUGUGCGGGAAGAUAAUGACGGUACCGCAAGAAUAAGCCCGGCUAACUUCGUGCCAGCAGCCGC